CAAGGGCUGUAGCGUGGAAACGGAGGAUGAAGCCAACACUGAGUGGAGAGAGAGAGAAAUCUGGCCCUUGGUGACACGCCUCAUGUCACUAGAAGCUACAGUAUUGGACAGCACGAUUCUCUGUUCUCCAAAUGUAAAAUCAAGAAUGAGAACGCUGGCAGAAGUAAGGAAAGAUGAGACCUGUUUUGAAAACGAAGUUUUAGAGGAACUAUGUGAACAGAUUGUGUUCUUCAGGGGCCUGGCACAUGAUGACAUCUAACACCCAUGGCCAACAGCAUUCAUAAUCACCAAUACGCAGCAUCAUACUCUGUCUACUGGCAAUUCCCAGAGAUCCAAGAAAUAUGUAAAACACUGGCUAGAAAGUGUUCUUGUGGCACGAGGCGGUGCUCAUCAGGUGGCUUUAGGGUGCACUGGUCACCUGUUACGUGCAGGUCUCCUGGAGGACCUGAGUCCCUGCCCCAGCUCAGCCCACACCACCUCUGUCACCCUGAGACUUAUAACCAGGCCAGGCGCGAUGGCUCAUGCCUAUAAUCUCAGCACGAUGGGAGGCCGAGGCGAGUGGAUCACUUGAGGUCAGGAGUUCAAGACCAGCCUAGCCAACAUCUCUACUAAAAAUAUACAAAAAUUAGCUGGGCGUGGUGGUACACGACUGUAGUCCCAGCUACUUGGGAGACUGAGGCAGGCGAAUUGCUUGAACC
rnacentral:lncRNA from 1 species